UGGGUAUUUGACCCUAAAAUUGGGGUUUUGGAUAGAAAUUUUGGGGUUCUGAACCCCAAUUUUUAGGUUUGAGACCCCAAUUUUUGGGUUUAAUAC
rnacentral:miRNA from 1 species